rnacentral:rRNA from 1 species
UUGGAAGUAAAAAGGUCGUAACAAGGUCUCCCUUGGUGGACCAGGGGAGGGAUCAUUA